rnacentral:rRNA from 1 species
CCUACGGGAGACAGCAGUGAGGAAUAUUGGUCAAUGGACGAGAGUCUGAACCAGCCAAGUAGCGUGAAGGAUGACUGCCCUAUGGGUUGUAAACUUCUUUUAUAUGGGAAUAAACUGUUCCACGUGUGGGAUUUUGUAUGUACCAUAUGAAUAAGGAUCGGCUAACUCCGUGCCAGCAGCCGCGGUAAUACGGAGGAUCCGAGCGUUAUCCGGAUUUAUUGGGUUUAAAGGGAGCGUAGGUGGAUUGUUAAGUCAGUUGUGAAAGUUUGCGGCUCAACCGUAAAAUUGCAGUUGAAACUGGCAGUCUUGAGUACAGUAGAGGUGGGCGGAAUUCGUGGUGUAGCGGUGAAAUGCUUAGAUAUCACGAAGAACUCCGAUUGCGAAGGCAGUUCACUGGACUGCAACUGACACUGAGGCUCGAAAGUGUGGGUAUCAAACAGGAUUAGAUACCCUUGUAGUC